UUUUUGAGCUAAAACCUAAAUUUUAUGGACUAAAAAUUUUAGGUUUUAGCCCAAGGGUUGGAGAUGGUCUAAGAGAGUCCCUUAACAUUUCUCUAGAAUAAAACACCCAUGGAUAUAAGCCAAGGGACAAAAUGACCAUCCCUAAUCAAUUGUCAUUCUCUUUCUUUCUUCUUAUAGUUCCUUAAUAUUCUACUGAGAAAAAAGUUUUAAUGCUCCAUUUUGAUGACUCUUCUUUUCUUCCUUUUGUUUAUAUGUACUCUCCCUUACGUUUUGUCUUGUUAAAAGAGAUUAUUAAAGACGGAAGAUCAUUAGCACUUUAGUUAGCAAGUUAGCUAGGGUGGUUGUUCAUUAGUGGAUUCCCUUCUUUGUUUUUUUUUUUUUUCAGCUGAAAGCAUAUAUACACUCAGUCAUGAUAGCAAUACUGAAAAUCAAAUUGGAUAGAAGAUGAUGAAUUAGGCGAACUGAACUACACAUAAAAGCAUAAUCGUUGAACUACAUUUGUACUCUUACUCUUCCGCUAAAGCGAGUAGAACGAAAUUUCUUAGCAAUUUACUCUAAACUACUCAAGUUUCAUGAGCAACAACAAAUGAACUGUUUAAUUUGUGUCUUGUGACUGGCGUGACCUUCAUUAAAAAGGAAAAGAAGGUGUGAAGAAAUAUCAUGAUCAAAUAUAUACCACAAUUCUUUAUUAAGUACUACCAAAACAAAAUUUGGAACUUCGAAUAUUUAUUACUGUUGGGAAUCACACAUCAUAUUCAUUUCAUACUUGUGGUCCUCAGAUAUGAGAGAGGAUCCUCGCCGGAUCCUCUAAUCACAUUCAUUCAUCGUACAUCGUGCGAUCAGUUUUCAUCAGGUUUUAUUUAUAUUCAAUUUUAAAUAUAAAAAAUUACAAAGAUUUCUGACUGCAGUACAAUGAAUGAAUAUGAUUAGAGGAUUCUCGGAAUCCUUACAAAGAGGAUCCUCAUUCCUUAGAUAUUAUCACGAUGCAUGUGUACGAGAUUCACGUGGAACCCUAAUUCUAUGUGGCCACUUCUUUUGCCAUUUUGUAUGCCGCGGGAAACUCGGCAAGACUUUCAACAAAAACGAGUGGAUCACAGUACAACUUCUGUAACUUUCGUUGUUGUUUUUUUCUUAAUUGAAUGACUAGUGAGUUGUGACUACUUACCAAGAACUACAACCCUAAACCUUUACUCUGUGAAACUUUCAUUGUUUUUGUUAAACAUUCAUUACGACCCCCGACAGUGAAAGUUACAUUGAUAUUCCAUUGCAUGCAUCUUCUUUCUUCACGUAUAGCCGUUGAAUUAUAAGUAAACAUAAAUAAAAAGAUUGAAAUAAGACUAUAAUUAGCCACAGAGUUGUUGGCUCUAUUAUGUAGUGGUUGACAUGCUUGUCCGCAUGAACCUCGCCAGGCUUAUGUCUGGCAUGUGGGGAAUCUGUUUGGGGCAUGGGGCUUCAGUCGCACAGCCUACACACAUUGUUCGGUCCAUAACGAAUUAAUCCGGGGUUAAUUUUUUGAGAGUAUUUGAGUCAAAGAAUUUUUUUUUCCCAAAGCUUGUUUUAACCCAGUAAUUAAAAAUGGUUUGGAUGAGAUUUAAAGUUUAAAGUUUAAACUUUAUCCUAACCAUUGCAAAUGGUCUUAGUGAUGUUAUUAGUCUAAAAGCAGGUUUCUUUUAUUUCUAUGACAUAUGUUACUAGCUAGACUUGAUGCACAGAGUAAGAAUGAAAAUUAUGAAGUCAAGAAAUUGAAUGGAGAACAAAUUCAAGAUGAUGCUGAAUUGCUGACAGAUGCGUUGUAUACACGGGGUGGGUUGGGUUGAGUUUGUGCUAUCAAUUUUGAUUGGGUUGAAUUGUCUUUAGGCGUUCCUUAGAUGAUCAUCGUUGUAACUGCAGCUUCUUAAAAUAAAAAUAAAAAGAAGACUAUCGUUUUAAGCAAAUAUAACAAAAAAUUGAAUGAAUAUAAUAUGCUAUUUGAAGCUGUUCGAACCAUUAAAUGAGGUUGGAAAAUAGUUUUUAAAACUAAAAAUGGAUACACUAAUCCAAAAUUCAAGCCAGAACAUUACCAAAAUAUCCUAUAUGAACUUUAAUUAGACAUUUACAAUGUGGCGAAAAUUUGCUAAACCCAUUAAAAAUCAAGUGUUAUUUUAUUUAUUUUUUAGGAAAACUAAUGAAAAAUGCUUGAAAACUUUGAGUUUUAACAAUAAAGACAAAAUAAAUGAUAAAGUGAAUAGUAUUAUAAUUGAUUUUUUAAUAUAAAAAUAAGAUUUUUCGUUAAAGUGAACAGUAUCGGAAUAUUUUUUUUUAAAGUUCCCUUAUAUUUUUUGGUUAAAAUUUGAUAAUUUUUUGCGACAUCUUUCCCUUUGAGGUUUUGGGGCCUGAGGAUAGUAAACCAUGAUGCUUUUGGCUAGAAGAAGGGAUGUCUCCUUACUGUAAUGAUUGGAUUGGCUCUGCUCGCCAGUUGUAUUUUGUGCGGCACCGGACACCUCACUUGAAGUAGUUUGGGACUGAGGACUAUCUUCAUCAAGACGCUUCUCCGACAAAUUUGCCUGCCGAAGUUCCUCUCGAGCUUCUGUUACUUUACCUCUUUAAAGCUAAUGAACUCCUCUUAAAAGCCAGGAUUUCUUGCCGAAUGGCACUUUGGUUGCUCUGAGAAGUAGAUUUUUGUCACCUUAUGUUUUUGACAUAAUGUUUUAUAAAUAGUGACAUGAGAAUUGACGUUAAUUGUGAGGCGACAGAGAGUAUAUGAGGGAUUCCACUUUUGAGAGAGUCCCGUUAACAUUUCUCUAGAUGGAUAUAUAACCCAUGGGGCAAAAUGACCUUCCUAAUCAAUUGUCAUUCUCUUUGUUUCUUCUUAUAGUUCCUAACUUCCUACUGAGAAAAACGAUUCAAUGCUCCAUUUGGAUGACUCUUCUUUUCUCCCUUUGUUUAUGUUACUCUCCCAUACGUUUUGCCUAGUUAAAAGAGAUUAUUAAGACGGAAGAUCAUUAUCACUUUAGUUAGCAAGUUAACUAGGGUGGUUCAUUAGCAGAUCCCCUUUCAUUUUUUAAGUAAAUUAUAGUAAUGGUCCGUCAACAUUAAUCAAAUUGGAACAAUGGUCCAUCAACUAAAAAUUCAUUACCAUUGGUCCCUCAACUCAUCAAAAUAUGUAACUAUGGUCAUUUUCAUUAACUUCGUCAGAAUUUUGUCGAAAUGAAUUUGUUGGAAGGAUAAUUGCUACAAUUGGAGUUCCUCAACUCACCAAAACGUGUAGACUUCUUCAGAAUUUUAUCAAAAUGAGUUAUGUUAUAAGGAUCAUUACUACAAUUAGGUUAAAGUUGAUGGACCAUUGCUCCAAUUGGGUUAAAAUUGAUGGACUAUUUCUUCAAUUGGAUUAAAGUUGAGGAAACAAUGGUAAUGAAUUUUUAAUUGAGGGACCAUAGCUGCACGUUUUAAUGAAUUGAUAGAUCAAUGGUAAUGAAUUUUUAGUUAAGAGACUAUUGCUCCAAUUGAGUUAAAGUUAAGAGAUCAUUGCUCAAUUUACUCUUGUUUUUUAGAUGAAAGGAUGAUAUAUGAGAUGAAUAAUAUAUGAAAGCACAUAUAUACUCAGUCAUGGUAGGAAUAUUGGACAUCAAACUGGAUAAAAGAUGACGAAUUAAGCGAACUAAACUACACAUAAACGCAUAAUCAUUGAACUUCAUGAAAAAUGAACGAAGGUGUGAAGAAAUAUCAUGAUCAAGUAUUACCACAACUUUGUUAAGUACUACCAUACCUAAAUUUGGGACUUUGAAUAUUUAGUACUGUUGGGAAUCACACAUUAUAUUCGUUUCAUAUAUGGGUACGAGACACGUGGAACCCUAAUUCUUUGUGGCACUUUAUCCCCCACUUCUUGUGUGUUUUCGUACGCUGCGGGAAACUAGGCAAGACUGUCAACAAAAACGAGUGGACACUACAACUUCUGUGACUUCCGUUGGCUUUUCCUUAUAAUUGAAAGACUUGUGAGUUGUGACUACAUCCUAAGAAGAACACCGACACUAAACUUUAAUUUUGUGAAACUUUCAUUGUUUCAAUAAACAUUGAUUAUGACCCUCGACAGUGAAAGCUACACAAAUAUUCCAUAUAAACAAAAUAAAAAUUGACAUAUGACUGAAAUCAAUCACUCAUAUUAUUUUGAACCGUUGACUAGUCAAAG
rnacentral:lncRNA from 1 species